GAGCUCGGUGGUAGAGCAUUUGCCUUGCAUACAAAAGCUCCUGAGUUCAAUCCCUGGCAUCUUCA